AUGCAUUCUCAUGAAGGCCAGCUACGUGUGAGCAAUUAUCAAAUCAUAACUCCUGGCAUGGAUGGGUCAGCCAUGUGGACUGAGGUAGUAUGGGAAAAAGAUGCACAGAAUCAAAAGAAGAAUUCAAAGAAUAUUUCUGAUAAUUCAAUUGAGACCAUAAACACAGAGACAGACUCACACAGAGCCACAUGCAGACAGACACUCACACAGAGCCACAUGCAGACAGGCUCACACAGAGCCACAUGCAGACAGACUCACACAGAGCCACAUGCAGACAGGCUCACAGAGACAGACUCACAGAGCCACAUGCAGACAGACACUCACACAGAGCCACAUGCAGACAGACACUCACACAGAGCCACAUGCAGACAGAAACUCACACAGAGCCACAUGCAGACAGACUCACACAGAGCCACAUGCAGACAGACACACACACAGAGCCACAUGCAGACAGACACUCACACAGAGCCACAUGCAGACAGACACUCACACAGAGCCACAUGCAGACAUACACUCACACAGAGCCACAUGCAGACAGACUCACACAGAGACAAACUCACACAGAGCCACAUGCAGACAGACACACACAGAGCCACAUGCAGAGACUCACACAGAGCCACAUGCAGAGACUCACACAGAGCCACAUGCAGACAGACUCACACAGAGCCACAUGCAGACAGACACACACACAGAGCCACAUGCAGACAGACACUCACACAGAGCCACAUGCAGACAGACACUCACACAGAGCCACAUGCAGACAGACUCACACAAACUCACACAGAGCCACAUGCAGACAGACUCACACAGAGCCACACGCAGACAGACACAUACAGAGACAGACACUCACACAGCGCCACACGCAGACAGACUCGCACAGAGCCACACGCAGACAGACUCACACAGAGCCACACGCAGACAGACACAUACAGAGACAGACACUCACACAGCGCCACACGCAGACAGACUCGCACAGAGCCACACGCAGACAGACUCACACAGAGACACAUGCAGACAGAGCCACAUGCAUACAGACUCACACAGAGACAGACUCACACAGAGACAGACUCACACAGAGACAGACUCACACAGAGCCACAUGCAGACAGACACACAGAGCCACAUGCAGAGAGACUCACACAGCGCCACACACAGCUCCACACGCAGACAGACUCACACAGCGCCACACACAGACAGGCUCACAGAGACAGACUCACAGAGCCACAUGCAGACAGACACACAGCGCCACACGCAGACAGACACGCCAGGCACACAGAGGAAAUCAACCCCCCACACCGCAGCAUACAGGAGAAAGCCUUUCUACUUGAUUAAAGAGAAGCAGCUUUUCUCCAGAACGUGA
rnacentral:lncRNA from 1 species